GACGAACGCUGGCGGCGCGCUUAACACAUGCAAGUCGAGCGAUGAAAUUUCGACAGAUCCCUUCGGGGUGAAGAUGAAAUGGAUUAGCGGCGGACGGGUGAGUAACACGUUAGUAACCUGCCUUUGACAUUGGGAUAGCCUCGGGAAACUGGGAUUAAUACCAAAUGACACUAACUGAUCACAUGAUCAAUUAGUCAAAGAAAUUCGGUCAAAGAUGGACUCGCGGCUGAUUAGCUAGUUGGUGAGGUAACGGCCCACCAAGGCGACGAUCAGUAGCCGGCCUGAGAGGGUGAUCGGCCACAUUGGAACUGAGACACGGUCCAAACUCCUACGGGAGGCAGCAGUGGGGAAUAUUGCACAAUGGGGGAAACCCUGAUGCAGCGACGCCGCGUGAGCGAAGAAGGCCUUCGGGUCGUAAAGCUCUUUUAUGAGGGAAGAUAAUGACGGUACCUCAAGAAAAAGCCCCGGCUAACUACGUG
rnacentral:rRNA from 1 species